UCAGUAUCAAGGAACGAGUUGGAUGGAGAGGCAAAGCGCGAACAGAGACUGUUGUCGCCCGAGUCGUUACACGCGGCAUCGAACGUAAAUUGACGCCCAAGUUCGUUCUCAACUCUUCGAAAUUCAUCACGAAGGAACAUCCGAUCACAUAUCAAUGGAUCACAGACGGGCGGAACAACAGAGUCCCUAGUCGUCAAGUCAGGCUCGGCAGAAGAGACUUGGUCUACACGUGCUACGGCCUGCUUGCAAAACACCCCCUCGCGCUUGCCAGCGUCCUAAUUAGCCGGUCGGUUCGCGUUUAAAGUAGCCGUCUUCUCCUGCAGUCGGGCCAUCUGCUCCUGCAGGUGGCGAAGGCAGUCCUUCUUGUGCUCUUCCCAAGUCUGGUUCGCCGGUUUGAGGCGAGAGCACAUCCGACACUUGAGAGGAGUACCGGACGUUGACGUCCGCGGUUUCUUCGCACGAACCGUUUCCCAGGCCUGUUUGGAAGGGGACCGAGGGCGAGAUUGCUUAGGGCGAGAGGAGGAAGUAAUCUUAGACGGGCCAGCUUGCGUAGUAACUACAGCAAGCUGUGCUUUGUCCUUUCCGGCUUUCCACCCAACCUCCUGACCGCUAGCAUACAGGAUUAGCUUCUCUAAAUCCUGCCAGUCUUUGCCCUCAUCGUCCGUAGCGCAGCGACCGUGCAGCGCAGGAACUAAGCCCUUGAUAUACCAAGAGAUUUGAUCCGCAACACUCAUAUCAUUCGCUUCGCGAACAAUAUCGUAAAAGCGCUGCGUAUACUCCGGUACGGACUCGUCUAUUUUCAUAUCGUAGUCGUGCGCAUGCAAACGAUCGCGUGCGGCCAUCGCGGUGUCGCGCUUCGCAUCCCCAUAUUGUAACAGGAAUUUAUCACGCAACAAAUCGCGGGUAAGUGGUUGCGCGCCGGACUUGUGCUUAAGGAAAAGAUCUGCGGCCCACUCCUGAGCCUUGCCCGUAAGCCAAAACAUAAAGUGCUCAAGCGGGUCCAUUUGCGACAAGUCAAAAUAUUGCAUAAGAAGCGCGAACCAUGUCUUAGUAUUAGUAAUUUGCGAAUCCUUCUUUCCACUAAAACGAGGUGGUGCAAGGAUACGCUUAUUUACCUCUGAGGGAUGGGCAGACUUAGAAGGGGGGGCCGCCGAGCCGGAAGGACCACCGGCUUGCUUGGCGAUGCCCUCGCUCCAGAGCUGCUUGACCUCAUCCAAACGGACUUCGGGAUUAAGGUGGCGCUGCAGAAGCGCCUGGAAAGCGCAAUUCUGCAGCAUAUCCACGUCAAGAAACACGGCCAGAUUGCUGUCCAGCGUCUCGCAGAUGCCAUCAAUAAUUAUCGUCUUACGCCUAAUGUCCGACGUACUCGGAGGCGGCGACGUAGGUGACAAAUCCCGAAGCUGCGCUUGGACAUCCUUCAGGGCGGAGGUUAUUUCGCCCAAGCGCUCGCCGUAUUUGGCGAGAAUGCCGUGAACCUCUCCCUUAAAGGAAGAUAAUUCCGCUUGAAGAGCAGGGACUUGAUUGUCGCGAGCUGCGCGAAGCAUUUCCUGGACCUGCACGGCUGCCGCAGCCUGCGCUGGCGUACACGCCGGAAGCCCGUAGAAGGCGAGGCCCGCUGCACGGUCUCCGAAGGCGAUUCCGCCGGAGAAUCAACGUCCAUCUGUGGACAAUUAACAGGAAUAUUAUUAAUAUGAUGUUCCUUAUUGGGAAUAGCCAAAGGGUGUUCGUCUUCGUCGUCGGAAUUAGCAGCCUCGUGCGCAGCAGGGUCCUGUUCCUGAAGGGAUGCUUCGCGAUACCUUUCAUACGAUUUUUGAAGCUUAAGGAAUUUAGUCAAACGCUUUUGCGCGGCCUUAUUGUAGCGCAUCGCGUCAAGGAGGAUCGAACUUGACGCUCGAUACCAAUGUAGCAGUCGCUCACCUGACGGGAGGACUGGCAAAGCGGAAGCGUGGAGUUAUUAGUCCUCGUCGAUGUAGGAAGAAGUCCAACCAAGCGGCAGGCACUAGCGUACAUAAGAUGUGUACGUAACGAUUAGAGACGGCGGCAGCGGAGUCUUGAACUCCGAACACCUAGUAAUGUGAUACGUCAGUGUCUGGCCAGAACACCCCGCCCGGGUAGCUUAUAUCUCGGCCUACCUGCCGGAUAAUCUCUACUACGGACCUUGCCGUACUAGGAUAAUGUUGGUGGGGCCCGGGGCCCCAUCCCGUUAGAUUCGCUUACUAAUAGCUGCCCAGUUCGUGACAUGUGACGAAACUCGGAACAUGUACGAAACUUGAGUCAGAUCGUUUUACAAAUUAACAAUUAUUGUUAAAAGUAAUCGUUAAAAUAUUCUAAGGGAAAUGUAGCUUGCUACAGCAGCCUAUGUGCCUGGGAGCCUGGCAGCCUGGGAUUCUGAGAGCUUGGGACCCCAGUCUUUAACGAAACUUUGGUAUGGCUUCGUUGGCCUGCCCGCCAUGCGCUGUGUUGCACAGACAGGCUGGCAGGUGGAAUGCAGGACAAGGGCGUAACCGGGUGCGGGGCGUGGUGCCGUGUUGGGUCUUGGGGACAUGCGCAAGCUGUGCGCCAGCUCGGAUGCCAUACAAUGGCCUCUUUCCACCGCCAAAUGAUCGUGUACCCAGUAGAGCAUUCAUUGUGCCACUCAGAGCCGACAAAGGGAUGGAACGACGUGUUGGGCAUGGCGGUCAGUCUUUGCUGAAUCCCUUUCACUAAUGCCCAGUGCUUGUGGCCAUUGCAAUGACCUUAUUGCAUGAUUCAAUUGUUCCAGUGCGUUGGUGUUAUUUAAGCAGGUUACAUAAACAGGUCAUUAGAAUGUCCGCCGCGCGCCUUGAGAUGUUGUCUUUUUUCUUUCGAUUGCUUUCUCCUUUUAUGCUAGAAGCCUUUUGACUAUGUGCGUCACAAUUUUGGUGUUAGUUUCUCCUGGAGAGUGUUUUGCACGUGAAUUGCUUGCCAAGGAAUGCAAGCUGGAGCAUUAAUUAUUAGUGUCUCAUGAAUCAUCUACAUACAGAUGUUUUGGAGCUUUGGACCAUCGUUUCCAUGACCGUCCGCUAGGCGUCCGCUGGAACGGUCAAGAUGUACGGCGUUGCGGACAGGGGACCGUCCGCCGGCGGGGUAUAUGUAAAUUCAGUCAUGUUCCCAAUGGUCAUAUGCUGGCUAUGUGUUCAUGUUUUGUUCCUUUCUAAAAAGUGACAAUUAUAUGCCAUAUGGACUCCCGAAUCCCCUCUGAAAUGCUGCAUAGUAUAUUACCUCCAUAACAAUGUGCACAAUGUACUAUGCAGCAUCCCUGCAGGGAUUCUGGAGUGCACUUGAAUUACCUUCGUUUCAGCCACUUGCAGUGACUUAAGGCAUGUAUUUAAGGUUUAAUUAGCAAAGAUUCUCUCCUGCUGUGUUCAAGCAUGACAAGUUAAGUCACCAGCUCGCACCGUCCCACAGGCACAGCAUUGUUGAUGUAACUAGCUAAAACAUGUGGGAGGUGCAUUAGUCUCAACCGCAGGCGCGGCGGCGGCCAUACUCCACCCCCUUUCUUUGCACUGGUGCCGAUAUGCAUGUGACCGACUACCAAACCAGUUGGCACAGUUGGUGCAGUGAAAAGGCUGGGAGGAGUCCGGAGCUACAUCCGGUCUGUAAAUGAUCUUUCGUGGUUUGGAUGCCACCUCCAGCGCAUUCAAUGACAUGGCAAACUGGCUAAUGUGACCAGUAAGAAUGAUCACAAUGUGUAGGAAUACCAGAACAUUCACGUUUGUAUCAAUCGUCGAGCUUCUAAUGCUUCUACACAAGCAAGCAUUUGGUCCCGCCAUGACAAAAGAGCAUCCUAUUCUAUGGCAGGUUCUGGCAAGGAUUUAAAUGAUGCAAUCAACAAAGUUCGGUAGCCACGAAACAACUUCCCAAUAUUGAAUUUGCAGCCAUGUGAACUUUAUACCAUGCUGUACACUUCCGGACACUUUCCCCUCUUGCUGCCCAGAAGUCAAGUGAACGUGGACAAUUUGCAACACCAAUAAGAAACGUCACUGCGUUUAGCACUAUGUGAUUGCUGUGCAAAUUGCACCAUCUGGUACCUCCCAGCCCCACCUUCGUCGCUGCCGCUGCUACUCCGUUGCUAAUUCCCCCCGCCGCCGUGCCUGCUGUUGAGACUAAUAGCCCUCCCAGCCCCACCUUCAUCGCUGCCGCUGCUACUCCGUUGCUAUCUCCCGCCGCCGCCGCACCUCCUGUUCAGAUUAAUGCAUCUCCCAGCCCCACCGCCGUCGCUGCCGUUGCUACUCCGUUGCUAAUUCCCGCCGCCGCCGCGCCUGCCGUUUAGGCUACUGCACCUCCCAGCCCCAACACCGUCGCUGCCGCUGCUGCUGCAUUGCUAUUUCCUGCCACCGCCGUGCCUGCCAUUUAGGCUACUGCACCUCCCAGCCCCAACGCAGUCGCUGCCGCUGCUACUCCGUUGCUAAUUCCCCCAGCCGCCACGCCUGCUGCUCUUGCUAUUUCCCCCACCACCAUGCCUGCCGUUAAGGAUACUGCACCUUCCAACCCCACCUUCAUCGCUGCCACUGCUGCUGCGUUGCUAAUUCCCGCCGCCGCCGCGCCUGCCGUUUAGGCUACUGCACCUCCAACCCCACCGCCGUCGCUGCCACUGCUGCUGCGUUGCUAAUUCCCACCGCCGCCACGCCUGCCGUUUAGGCUACUGCACCUCCCAGCCCCACUGCCGUCGCUGCCACUGCUNNNNNNNNNNNNNNNNNNNNNNNNNNNNNNNNNNNNNNNNNNNNNNNNNNNNNNNNNNNNNNNNNNNNNNNNNNNNNNNNNNNNNNNNNNNNNNNNNNNNNNNNNNNNNNNNNNNNNNNNNNNNNNNNNNNNNNNNNNNNCCGGACGCCAAGCGUCAGAGGCUGGACACGGCUGCGUCCCAGAGCAGCACGUCGACGGUCGGCCCUCCCGCCGUCGCCACGUAAGCGAGCUGCUACAUGCAAAGAGCGUGUUCACACCAGUAAGGUACUUACGCUCCGCCUCUCACCGUGCGAAAUAGACGCAUCUAUCAGCUCCGGCGCGCAUAUUUGGCCGCUGCCUGUUAAGCACAGAUGUCUUCCGUCACGUUCAUCGCCGCUCGCAUGCACCUUGAAUAUCGUGUAACGCUCCCCAUUUGACGCCCCUUUGCAACACGUAGGGAUUCAAGGAGCGUCACGUUUCAUGUGACGUUUACGGCCGGCCCCACAGAAACGAAUGAGGACCGCCUCUUUGCCGGCGCCCAGAGCCGCUACGGCAGCUUCAUCGCUGGCGUGAAUACCGCCGGCCAGGGGAUAGUAAUUAUGCAGAUUGACGAUGUCAUCCUCGGCAGGCUGGAGAGCAGCCACGCGUUCGGCCACCGCGUGACGUUCGCCAAUGUGGAUGCAGCUUCCCUGCCGCCUUUCAUAACUUCUCGUUUCGCUGGGGUGACGGUGGGGCAGUUUAAAGUCUCCUCAGCGACGCGGAUUUCCGUGGAGCCCUCCUCCGCUGUCCCAAUGCUCUACAGCGCCAGGCUUCGGUUCCCCGUUUACGAUGUCGGCAGUGACAGGGCUCGCCCCGAAGACAAGCACGCGUCAGAUGGCAGCGCCCUCCUGCUCAUCCCACACGGCGGGAUGUUCCGGGGCGGGCCGUUCCGCAAGUUUAAGGCGUGNGUCGCGUGCGGCAACGGUGACAGUCCCGACGCCGGACGCGUGGAGCUCGCCAUCAGGGAAUCCGCUCCCGACGACUUCGUCGCUCAGCUACAAGCAGCGGCCGAUAGCAGCACGCCCCUUUACGUGUAUGNNNNNNNNNNNNNNNNNNNNNNNNNNNNNNNNNNNNNNNNNNNNNNNNNNCCACGCCUGCCGUUUAGGCUACUGCACCUCCCAACCCCACUGCCGUCGCUGCCACUGCUGCUGUGUUGCUAAUUCCCGCCGCCGCCGUGCCUGCCGUUUAGGCUACUGCACCUCCCAGCCCCAACGCCGUCGCUGCCGCUGUUGCUGUGUUGCUAUUUCCCGCCGCCGCCACGCCUGCCGUUUAGGCUACUGCACCUCCCAACCCCACUGCCGUCGCUGCCACUGCUGCUGCGUUGCUAUUUCCCGCCGCUGCCGCGCCUGCUGGACUUGCAUUUCUGGACUGGCGAGAAUUUUGAAAAUUUUGUUUCACCGAAAUGGCAUCCCUGGAUCACACUUGCGAUUUAUUGUAUGUGCUGCUACUACUACUACUACUACUACUUGUAUGUAUAUAGUAGUACUGGUACUACCCUUUAGUAUAAUAGUAGUAGGUAUAUAGUCAGAGAAAGAAAAAUGACUUCCAUGCCAGAGUUGAACUGGCAGCCACAGCAAUACCAAAAUAGUGUUUGUAUGUUCUCUGUGGCUACAUCACUUGGAAGAGAGUGAAAAGAGAAAAGAUUGGAUGGCCAAUUGGAUGUGGCCCAUUUUUGUAAAAUAAAGGCCCUCCCUAAUGCACCUCCCAGCCCCAACGCCGUCGCUGCCGCUGCUACUCCGUUGCUAAUUCCCACCGCCGCCGUGCCUGCUGUUGAGAGUAAUGGCCCUCCCAGCCCCACCUUCGUCGCUGCCACUGCUGCUGGGUUGCUAAUUCCCGCCGCCGCCGCGCCUGCCGUUUAGGCUACUGCACCUCCCAGCCCCAACACUGUCGCUGCCGCUGCUGCUGCGUUGCUAUUUCCUGCCACCGCCGUGCCUGCCAUUUAGGCUACUGCACCUCCCAGCCCCAACGCAGUCGCUGCCGCUGCUACUCCGUUGCUAAUUCCCCCAGCCGCCACGCCUGCCAUUUAGGCUACUGCACCCCACCAGCAUGCCUGCCGUUAAGGCUACUGCACCUUCCAAUCCCACCUUCACGCCGCCACUGCUGCUGCGUUGCUAAUUCCCGCCGCCGCCGCGCCUGCCGUUUAGGCUACUGCACCUCCAACCCCACCGCCGUCGCUGCCACUGCUGCUGCGUUGCUAAUUCCCACCGCCGCCACGCCUGCCGUUUAGGCUACUGCACCUCCCAGCCCCACUGCCGUCGCUGCCACUGCUGCUGUGUUGCUAAUUCCCGACGCCGCCACGCCUGCCGUUUAGGCUACUGCACCUCCCAACCCCACUGCCGUCGCUGCCACUGCUGCUGUGUUGCUAAUUCCCGCCGCCGCCGUGCCUGCCAUUUAGGCUACUGCACCUCCCAGCCCCAACGCCGUCGCUGCUGCUGCUGCUGCAUUGCUAUUUCCUGCCACCGCCGCGCCUGCCAUUUAGGCUACUGCACCUCCCAGCCCCACCUUCGUCGCGGCCGCUGCUACUCCUUUGCUAAAUCCUGCCGCCGCCGCGCCUGCUGCUGCGUUGCUAAUUCCCCCCGCCGCCGCGCCUGCCGUUUAGGCUACUGCACCUCCCAGCCCCACUGCCGUCGCUGCCACUGCUGCUGCGUUGCUAAUUCCCACCGCCGCCACGCCUGCCGUUUAGGCUACUGCACCUCCCAACCCCACUGCCGUCGCUGCCACUGCUGCUGCGUUGCUAAUUCCCACGCCGCCACGCCUGCCGUUUAGGCUACUGCACCUCCCAACCCCACUGCCGUCGCUGCCACUGCUGCUGUGUUGCUAAUUCCCGGCGCCGCCGUGCCUGCCG
rnacentral:lncRNA from 1 species